rnacentral:tRNA from 1 species
GGGUUAAGAUUAUAGAUGGUUCUGUAGUAGACCUGCAAAGUCUAAGGUAUAGGUUCAAUUCCUACUUAACUCU